GCCCCAGCAGCUCCUCCUGAUGCUGAGCGCUGAGGCAGACUGGUGUCUUUAAAGGGUUAACAGGAGGAGGCGCAGCAGCGGUCAGCUCGUCUGGGUGGAGUGAAGUUUAGACAUGUACUAUAACAAAUUAGCCAGGAGGAGAGCUUCAUGGGAGAGUGGAAAACACUCAAAGAGUAGAAAACAUCUGUAGAAGACACAGGCAAAACCACCAGCGGCCGGUAGAGACGCUCCGAACAGCGAGCGGAGAUGAGUGAUGUGAGUGAAGAGUCGCUGCUGGAUUAUUUCUACUCGACCGGAGGCAAUUCAGGCAGAGUGAGAAACGCAGAUAUACUGAAGACAUUUAAGCCUUUCAUUGGCCACACUGACCUGCAGCUACGUGCUAAAUACAGAGAGGAAUUCAAGCUCAUCAUCGACCGCAUCGCUGUGGUGAAGUCAGAGAAUGGUGAGAAGUAUCUAGUCCUAAAGAAGAAAUACAGGCACUUGUUGCAGGAUCGAGACACCAAACAUCAGGGGACAGAUGGGGACCGACAGAGACACCAGAGCCCAGCCAGACCACCAGCCUCUGUACAGUGGGACUCAUCAUCUUCUCCUCACCAGAAGGAACAGAAGGAUGAGGCGAUGUUAUGUGGAGAGUCUGACGGCGCUACAGAGGACCAGCAGACUCUUCCUGCCGUCCAAACCCAGGAUCCCUCGACACAAAGCAACGGAGAGGAUGAGCUGGACAGAGACUCAGGCUCAAAGUCGGAGUCGGAGCAGGACGACGAGUGUACAGGCAGUAUGGGCUCCGCUGCAGUUGCUCUGGAUCCUAUAGAGAAAGAGUGGAUCUACUCUGCUGCCGGCGCUCGAGUCCCUGACCUCUCUCAGCUGCUCAGACAGGACCCCUCGCUGGCAAACAAGAAGGACUUCACCUCAGUGAGUAUCUCAUACAGUUUUAUUACCAGCUGUGUUAUUGUUACAUGAUUUUUGUCUGACCUGAAGCUUUUCACUUUCUCAUUUUGCCCUGCACUGACUCCUGGUUGUGACCAUGACUGCCGCUCUCAGGGGGUACGUUCCAUCCGUCACACAUCGUCAUUUUCAGCUCGCUUUUACAAAUUUCUUCAAUUCAUCAGCCGUGAUUCCUCAUUCUAAAACCUGCGCGUUGCUUGCGUAACUUCACAAGCUCAUUCUGCUGUGAUUUUCCCCUUAAUAGCGUUCUGAGAAGCCUGUGUUAAAACAUCCAGAUCGCGCAUUUCAAAGGUCCACUAUCAAAAGGAUUAUGAAAGAUAGCUUUUUAGCUCCUGUGCCCCCCUGACAACCCAAAUCCUUUUAUUUGUCUCCCUGUGCGCUUAAGAGAUUUGAGCUCAUGUUUGUUGUCCCUCCCCUGUGUCACAGUUCUCACACCGUCCUGUGGCCAUGGCAGACCACCUUCUAAGCCUGAGCCAUCUCCGCCGGGACAAGAUAGCACGGCCGCCAUUGAAGUGUAGGGAGAUCGGGGGGGAGGGGGAUUAAGGAGAGUCUUAAUGCCCCACAAAGACUUCACCCACUUAAAGAUAAUCUGAAAGUAAUAGAGCAGGCUGGGAUUAAUUGUAGAACAAUGCUGGUUGUGUCCCUGGGAAGGUGCUAAGUCCCCCUCAGGCCUCUUUGAUGUUCCCUUUAGCCCUCAGCCUUUCCCUGUUCACCAGAGUUGGACGCCGUUCCAGAGAGAUCGCACACUCAAAAAAGUCUCCUGGAAACACUCUUUACAACUAGGAGUUGUUAUAUUUCACCUGCGUCCGCCACGGUUUGAUUUCACUCCACAUAAGUUUAGCCUCGUGUCCCACAUAACAGCAUCUAAAUCACAUGUUUGAGCAGGACUGAAGGGAUUACUCUUCAUCCUGGGAGGACUUAAGUGUUUCCUGCUCUGACCAAAUGUUUGUGAGGAUCAGGUGGAUUUAUAGAUAUGCUCUUCAAACAGUGCCUUGAAGGUACACCGGCUUAAAAGUAAAGGCACCAGCACAGGUCAUCUCACCUAAAUCCAGCACUCUUCAUUCCUGAGUCUCACGUCCCCCUUUUCUUUUUUUCUUCUCUUUCUGCUCUCCUCAUGACGUCGGCCUCCGUCCCUGCUGUGACGAACUUCCUCCGCCGCACAGUUUACAGCUCUGCACUGGGCGGCCAAACAUGGCAAUGAGGACAUGGCCACUCUGGUGGUUAACGCCGGUGCCGAUGUCAACACUAAAUCACACGUGAGUAUCCAGGCUUUUUUCUGGCUUCGUACAGUAAGUGGUUGGACUUGAAAGGGGAAACAUGGCCGCUGCCCUCUUCUGUUGUGCCCCUCAGUGAUGUAAUGAUCUCUGUGAAGAUCCAGCUGUGCAAAUGUAUUACAGCAGCACAUGUUGCGGGGCUGCAGGAGGACUCCGCUAAUAAAUCAUGUCAUGUCAUGUUAAUUGUUUCCCAAAACAGUGCGUCUAUGUGCCAGCGUGCACAACUCUACAACUAUGCAAUUUUCAGCGAAUUACCAAGCAAUUAUGUUUUUAUCAUUAUCUGGUGUUUCCAUAACCUUUUGCUAAUUUGUAUAUUUUUUUUCCACGCUGUUUUCAUUGGCUGUGUUUGGUGCCUGGGAAACGCUAGGGGGGAUACACACCUUUACACAUUGCAGCAUUACACGGUCAUCGGCACAUUCUCGACCUGCUCGUAGGGACGUACGGAGCUAAAGAAAACCUGCGGGACUACAGUGGCCAUCUUGCCGACCAUUAUCUGAACAUCAAAGAACCAGAAGGUCCAGAGGAAGACUGCGAGCUGCAGUUUCAAGUCACUCAGGCCAGAGAGCGGAACAAGAACCGGAAGCUGGCAUCGCUGUUCCACUCCAAGAAGAAGUGGGGCUCAGCAGAGGAGCUCGCUCCCAUAGAGGAGGAGAGAACGGCGUCACAUCAGCUCGUCCUUCCAGCGUUUAGACCCAGAAAAUUCUCCCGCUGAGGAAAAAAAAAAAAAAGACCCAGGGACGAUUUCUGACUCUGCACCCACUUAUACAGCUCGUACUUAUGCUCAUACAUGUUUAAACAUGUGUAUGUAACAGGUAGUAAUAUGUGUAUAUUUAUUAUGGGCACUCACAGACAUGGACACUCAUUCCAUUGAUACUAAUGCUCACAAACACUCACCUAAACAGCUCUUACGAGCAGGAAACACAAAGGCUUUAACUUUUAAUGAGAACCGUUACAAGUGAUGCUUUGCUCAGAUGUGUUAUUAUCAACAUUUAUGCUCACCACAGAAGUAUUUUCGAAGCCUUUAAAUUUAGUACGUCUCGCUAAAUGUUACUCAUGGAGCCUUACAAUUUUACAUGAGCUCAGGCAACAUGAUUCUUUAAGCUUGACUUUGCAUUUGUGUAAAAUAAGUAAAUCUGGCAAGAAGGAGACAACUGGACUGGAAAAGUGUCUGGAACUGGUCAGGAAUACACCACUUUGUUUUUUAAAACAGAUAAACUCUCUUCUAAAACAGUGGCGUCUGUAGUUUUUAGAUAUUUGAGUUGGUGCAUUUGUAAGGACUAUUUUCAGCUCCACAUUUGUUGCACUGGUGCGUACUUAAGCAGCAGUAUUACUACAGUAUUGAUCUACAUUUAAUCAUUUUUGGACAACAGUGGAGCCAAAAAGAAAAGAAGAUAUACACGUAUAGAAUUUCACCAGAUGAAGCCGUUAAAGGAUAAUUUAAUAAUUCUGAAUGUCACAGCCUUGUAAAAAUGUGCACUUAAACUUCGCAUCCUGGUCAAAAUGUUAAUUAUGUAGUAAAUGAAUUCUUUGAAAAAUUAUUGAUGCUGUGAGGAGGGUUAAACCUUAUGUUUCACUUUUUAUGAAAGCCUUUAAUUUAUACUGAAUAAAACUGCAGAAUCCUCCACUCAGUGACUUAAAACAACACUGAUAAAAUUCAAGCAUUUUAACUGGAAACCAAAGUGAGAAAAGUAAAGGAUAAGAAUUUCAAAAUGUGCCCUAACCUUAAUAUGUACCCACAGUAUCAUUUAUUUGAAAUUCUGUUCCAUUUUGCGCUGAUUUUUAAAUACUUUAGAAGGAAACAUUUAAUGAAAAUAUAAAUCUGUGGUGAUUGGUCUUUCCCUGCCUUCAUAAUGCAGUCAGGGUACCCGCCGCUCAGCAAACAGAAAAAAUACGAAACCCUCCCCCCUUGUCUUACCUACUUCCCUCUCUAAUCAUUAUCUUGUGAAUGCAGCCCUGCUUGUCAGAGAAGUCGUGAUUCUCAGAUACCAGAUAACGUUCAUGAAUGCACCGCUGAUUAACCCAGCUUGUACUAAAAUACUACGAGUCAAUAAUGUGACUUGAUGGACGGAUAAAUCAACAAAAAAACAGAUAAAUCAAUAAACUGGUAAAUGUCAGUUGUGAUGUAGCCGUUUCAGGAUUUCCUAAUUUGGUUUAAACAUACAUCUUUAAAUCUGAGCCACUGAGAGAGAAGAAAUACACCAUUGUUUUUUGUCAUGGUGCAGAGAGUCAGUGUUUGAGAUUUAUUAGAAUGAAGAAUCAAGAGCAUAGCUGCAGAUUUUAAAUCUUUAAUAACUAUGUUUUUAGACUGAUGUACCUGGAGAUGGAGUGCUGCUCUGGUACUCGAUAAAGGCUUCUUACAAACACAUGUCAAGCUUGAGAUUUUUAGCUAACUGUGCUUGAUUCAUGCACCUGCUGUGUAUCAAAGUGCCUGUAAACUUUUGCAAAGAAAACAGACAACCUGCACUGCUAUAUUGCCUUGUUUGAAGGUUUUAAAGGCUUUUUUUAUUGUUCACUAUAGUCAUUUGUCAUGGAAGAUGCUCACUUUUGUUUAUAAUUCAGUGCCAUUUGUUAAAGUUUUUAGUAUUAUCAGCUAAUUGUAUAAAUGAAAGAGCCAACCUGUUACUUUUUUCCCCAUAAUGUUUGUAAAAUGAAAAUAUUUUGGAAUUAAAAAGUUUUUUAUAUGAAA